rnacentral:rRNA from 1 species
GUGAGGAAUAUUGGGCAAUGCCCGCAAGGGUGACCCAGCAACGCCGCGUGGAGGAUGAAUGUCGUAAGAUUGUAAACUCCUGUUAGAGGGGAAGAAUAGUACCGGUUGGACCGGUAUAUGACUGUACCCUCAGAGAAAGCCCCGGCUAACUACGUGCCAGCAGCCGCGGUAAUACGUAGGGGGCAAGCGUCGUCCGGAUUUACUGGGUGUAAAGGGCGCGCAGGCGGGAUAAAAAGUCAGUGGUGAAAUCCUACAGCUUAACUGUAGAACUGCCUUUGAUACUUUUAUUCUUGAGUUCGGGAGAGAGAGACGGAAUUCCAGGUGUAGUGGUGAAAUACGUAGAUAUCUGGAAGAACACCGGUUGCGAAGGCGGUCUCUUGGUCCGACACUGACGCUGAGGCGCGAAAGCGUGGGGA